rnacentral:lncRNA from 1 species
GACCUUUGUCUCUUUGUUUAUGUUUUCAGCAGUCAACCAAGAGUCUACCUCUGUUAGGGACUGUGUGGGGUGUAGCAGAAAGGAUGCAGACUACUGGCUCUCAGAGGAUUGCUACCUGGUGAGAGUGGACACACAAGAGAGCCUGAGAGCUUUAACUGAGAGUUGAAGUUAUUCUGGAGGAGGAAGAAGGUGGUGUGACCAACCCAUGAGGGUUUGCAUCGGGGGACAAAUGUUGAGUGCAGCAUUUGAAUGGCACGCCGUCUUCUCCAGACAGUGGUCAUGAAUUAAAAUGGAUAUCCAACUGUUCCAUGAGGCAACGAAUGGGGAUUUUACAUAUUAAAUCAGCAUUGUCUGCUGGAGCUCUCUGCUACCUGGGAAGGCUCUGCAUUUGGGCUGUCAAAGCCACAAGCUCAGACAAUGAAGAUGGCAAACUGAAGUCUUCCUCUAUAGGCACAACUUUGCAUCAGACAUUUGAUGGGAGAGGUCCAUCUUUGAAGGGAAGUUUUAUUUAAGUCUGUCCCUGGAUCCACAUCAUCCGUACGUCUGUCUACAGGGCAAAAAACUUCAUCUUUCAUGAGUGCAAUUUCAAACUUGGUGCCAACGAGAGACAUCUUCCCUGGACUCAAAUGCGCGAAGCCUGAACAGGACAUCUUGAGUGUUAGCUUCUCUGGGAUGGCUGCGGUGUGCAGCACAUUUUUGUUAAGGUGUUAUUCAAAGUUUCUGAUUAACAUAAGUUUUUCUUAAAAUUAUACAAAAACAUAAUACCAUGAUUAUGGAAAUAAAAAGCCACCCACAAGCUUACUAUCUUUACAAACCAUCUAUUUUCAUUCUUUCCUGUCUUUUCCAAAAAAGUAUUACCUCCUCCCGCCCCUCAGUGUUGGACACACAGCACAAAUAUGCCUUUGUGUUCUGAUCUUUUUUGUGUGCCUCACACAAUGAGUAAUAUCAGUGUGCUCUUAAGAAUAACAGAUUCAAAUAACUUCCAAGCAUUACAUUAUUUGAUACAUUCUCCUUUAUAUCAGCAUCCAGAUAUCACGGUGGGACUGGUAGGUUAGCUGGCAUUCACUUUUGUUUCCAGUAAUAGCUUGUUUUUCCCAUUACCCUCCUAAUGUCAGCUAUUUUCUUAGAAUGGAUCUUUAACAUUGGAAUUACAGUGUCCGAAAUGCUGAUGAUGGAGAAGAGCUGAUCCUUACCUCCAUGAAUUAAGUUAUUUUUUAACCAGUU